UACGGUAGGGACCGAGCGUUGUCCGGAAUCAUUGGGCGUAAAGAGCGUGUAGGCGGCCACUUAAGUCCUGCGUGAAAUCUUGCGGCUCAAUCGCAAGCGGUCGUGGGAAACUGGGUGGCUAGAGUGCGGGAGAGGAGAGUGGAAUUCCGGGUGUAGUGGUGAAAUGCGUAGAGAUCCGGAGGAACCCCAGAGGCGAAGGCGGCGCUCGUGGCUCGCAACUGACGCUCAGACACGACAGCAUGGGGGAGCGAACGGG
rnacentral:rRNA from 1 species